rnacentral:rRNA from 1 species
CGCAGCCGCGGUAAUUCCAGCUCCAAUAGCGUAUAUUAAAGUUGUUGCAGUUAAAAAGCUCGUAGUUGAAUUUCGGGAUCAUCAGGUCGGUCGUGCCUCCGGUAUGUACUGGUCUCGAUGGUUCCUCCUUCUUGUAGAACCGUAAUGCCAUUAAUUUGGUGUUGCGGGGAAACAGGACUGUUACUUUGAAAAAAUUAGAGUGUUUAAAGCAGGCGAUCGCUUGAAUGCAUUAGCAUGGAAUAAUGAAAUAGGACGUUCGAUCCUAUUUUGUUGGUUUCUAGGAUUGACGUA